rnacentral:rRNA from 1 species
AUUGAACGCUGGCGGAAUGCUUUACACAUGCAAGUCGAACGGCAGCACGGGGCAACCUGGUGGCGAGUGGCGAACGGGUGAGUAAUACAUCGGAACGUGCCCAAUCGUGGGGGAUAACGUAGCGAAAGUUACGCUAAUACCGCAUACGAUCUACGGAUGAAAGCGGGGGAUCGCAAGACCUCGCGCGAAUGGAGCGGCCGAUGUCAGAUUAGGUAGUUGGUGGGGUAAAGGCUCACCAAGCCGACGAUCUGUAGCUGGUCUGAGAGGACGACCAGCCACACUGGGACUGAGACGCGGCCCAGACUCCUACGGGAGGCAGCAGUGGGGAAUUUUGGACAAUGGGCGCAAGCCUGAUCCAGCCAUUCCGCGUGCAGGAUGAAGGCCUUCGGGUUGUAAACUGCUUUUGUACGGAACGAAACGGCGAGCUCUAAUACAGUUUGCUAAUGACGGUACCGUAAGAAUAAGCACCGGCUAACUACGUGCCAGCCGCCGCGGUAAGAC